rnacentral:rRNA from 1 species
AGUGUUUUCRUUAAUCAAGAACGAAAGUCAGAGGUUCGAAGGCGAUUAGAUACCGCUCUAGUUCUGACCGUAAACGAUGCCAACUGUCGAUCCGCUUGUGGAUUUUAUUCAUGAGCGGGGAGAUUUCCGGAAACGAAAGUUUUUCGGUUUCGGGGGAAGUAUGGUUGCAAAGCUGAAACUUAAAGGAAUUGACGGAAGGGCACCACCAGGAGUGGAGCUUGCGGCUUAAUUUGACUCAACACGGGAAAUCUCACCCGGCCAGUACAUCGUAAGGAUUGACAGACUGACAGCUCUUUCAUGAUUCGGUGAAUGGUGGUGCAUGGCCGUUCUUAGUUCGUGGAUUGAUUUGUCUGGUUUAUUCCGAUAACGAACGAGACUUUAACUAUUAAAUAGUGCGCAUGUUGCUUCGGCUGCGUGUGAUCACUUCUUAAAGGAAUUUGUGGUUUUCAACCUCAAGAAAUUGAGCAAUAACAGGUCUGUGAUGCCCUUAGAUGUUCGGGGCCGCACGCGUGCUACAAUGGUGGUAACAGCGUGAUUGUCCUUUUCCGACAGGAAUUGGCAAACAGUUGAGAUAUUAUUAUGGCUGGAAUUGAGUGUUGAAAUUUUCUCUCAUGAACGAGGAAUUCCAAGUAAAUGUGAGUCAUUAACUUGCAUUGAUUACGUCCCUGCCCUUUGUACACACCGCCCGUCGCUGCCCGGGACUGAGUUACUUCGAGAAAACUAGGGAUCGCUGGA